AGCGGUAGAGAGAAGCUUGCUUCUCUUGAGAGCGGCGGACGGGUGAGUAAUGCCUAGGAAUCUGCCUGGUAGUGGGGGAUAACGUUCGGAAACGGACGCUAAUACCGCAUACGUCCUACGGGAGAAAGCAGGGGACCUUCGGGCCUUGCGCUAUCAGAUGAGCCUAGGUCGGAUUAGCUAGUUGGUGGGGUAAUGGCUCACCAAGGCGACGAUCCGUAACUGGUCUGAGAGGAUGAUCAGUCACACUGGAACUGAGACACGGUCCAGACUCCUACGGGAGGCAGCAGUGGGGAAUAUUGGACAAUGGGCGAAAGCCUGAUCCAGCCAUGCCGCGUGUGUGAAGAAGGUCUUCGGAUUGUAAAGCACUUUAAGUUGGGAGGAAGGGCAGUUACCUAAUACGUGAUUGUUUUGACGUUACCGACAGAAUAAGCACCGGCUAACUCUGUGCCAGCAGCCGCGGUAAUACAGAGGGUGCAAGCGUUAAUCGGAAUUACUGGGCGUAAAG
rnacentral:rRNA from 1 species